GAUGAACGCUGGCGGCGUGCUUAACACAUGCAAGUCGAACGAGGAUUUAACGGAAUGCGAUUCGUCAAAUGAAAUUAAAUCCGAGUGGCGGACGGGUGAGUAACGCGUGGAUAACCUGCCUCACACAGGGGGACAACAGCCGGAAACGGCUGCUAAUACCGCAUAACACAAGUAAUUCGCAUGAAUAACUUGCCAAAGAUUUCAUCGGUGUGAGAUGGAUCCGCGUCUGAUUAGCCAGUUGGCGGGGUAACGGCCCGACCAAAGCGACGAUCAGUAGCCGACCUGAGAGGGUGACCGGCCACAUUGGGACUGAGACACGGCCCAAACUCCUACGGGAGGCAGCAGUGGGGAAUA
rnacentral:rRNA from 1 species